CAACGAGACCCAUGGAGGCAGCAGCCACAGAGGACUCCAGCAGUAUUCAUCAGAGAUUAUCUCAGGCUCAACGAGUGAAACACAGUGGCCCACAUUACCAGAGCAUGGUCAGCAUUAAGAAUGAACUGUGGAGGACUCAUGAAUCCAUUAAUGCUCUCCAGAGGGAAAGACGGUAAGAUUCAUGAGUGGAUGCCAGAAACAAAUACUGCCAGCAGAAACAAAUCAGGAGCACUUCCUUUAGCUUCUAUAGAAAAAUUUCCUAUGAAGAUUUUACUUUUUUUUAAUUUGGAAGAAAUUCUUCAAGCAGAGAAGUCCUACGCUUCCAUUAUUAAGGCAAUGUUGCAGCCACUCCAUCCCUCAUCUUCCUGUCAGCAUAUGGUGUCCAAGGUUGAUCAUUCUUCAGCUGAUAAGUUUUGGAAGGAAGGAGAUUCUUCUCGGAUCAAGAAUGUCAGAGGAUCAUCUGAGGAUGUAAACCUCUUCCUAACCCUGCUCUGGUUGACAGAAGCCAAGUAAAUGCAGAGCAUGCGCCACCAGAUUCAGAAUCACCAGUAACCAUGCUGCAAACUACCAGUGCACAAAGCCACUCACAAAAGAUACCAAAGAAAAUCCUCAGCUCCCUGCCCAGUUGUCAGCAGGGACUACUGCAGGACAAGUCCCAAAUUUCUCCUUUUGAAAUGACCAGCACUGCUCAGGCAUCCAUGGGAAGGAAAGAGAUAGUUAACAUCGCAGAAAGAAAGGAUUAGCUGGAAGAAGAGGAACUGCAAGAACUAUUGUCAAAACUCAUGGAUGGAUUCAAUCUAG
rnacentral:lncRNA from 1 species